AUGAUCCUAGAAGCCGUUGCUUCCCAGGACCUUCGUAUUUGCCAUGCUUUCUUUGGAAUUGCUGGGUCAAACAAUGACCUUAAUGUGCUCAACCAGUCCCCACUGUUUUUUGAUGCCUUGAAAGGAGAAGCCCCUCAAGUUCAGUUUUCAGUCAAUGGAAAUGAGUAUAGCACGGGUUACUACCUUGCUGAUGGUAUAUACCCAGAGUGGGCUGCCUUCAUGAAGACCAUACCACUUCCCCAAACAGAUAAACAUAAGUUAUUUGCCAAGUACCAAGAAGGGGCAAGGAAAGAUGUGGAGCGUGCUUUUGGGGUAUUGCAGUCCCGCUUUACCAUUGUUCGCCGGCCUGCACGACUAUGGCAGAGAAAGAGUGUUGGAAGGAUCAUGCGAGCAUGUGUGAUUCUCCACAAUAUGAUAGUCGAAGAUGAGAGAGAGCAAGUUAACGUUCAUAUUGACUUGAAUGAGAUUCCAGGGGCUUCAUUUGAUCUACCCUCUGAAGUGAAUGUUGGUGGUAAUCUUUGUUUUGCUGAUGUACUGCGUAGGAAAGCUACCAUCCGUGCUCGUCCACAACAUAACCAACUUAAAAAUAUUCUGGUCGAGCAUAUUUGGCAUAGGGCUCAAAAUAGGCAUCACAAUUAG
rnacentral:rRNA from 1 species